rnacentral:lncRNA from 1 species
UCAGGAUUCAUGCAAAGCACAUAUCACCAGCAAUUCCAGCACCGCAACAGAACUCGUUGCAGCUUCUCAAAGAGGUUGCAUGCUGGCUGAAAUUAAGGCAUCUGCCAGCUAAUUGUGUACAGUUCAUAUCAACGUGGCACAUGGGAAGAUGAAUACAGUCCCAGGUGGUCCCAAACUGUCCAUCUGUCUGAAUCUGAAUGGGUGUGGAAAGCCUGGAGGCCAGGCCAGGAACUUCCACAUGCAUGAGAAUUGCAAGAGGACAUUGAGGCUGACUGUGAGAAGAGAUCGAUUGAUCCCAGUUGUAAUGCGGAUGUGAAAGCAGAACUUUCCAAGUAAACUUGGAAUUUCCCCCACUGUCUUAAGGUUGAAGUUAAGAGUCUACACAUUGAAAGCACCACCCUUUGUGUACCUCAUCAGUGCUCCAGGACCUGCAGGAGUUGGCAUGGGAAAGAAGAGAUUAUGAUGAUCAGUGAUCACAGCAACCCAGGUGAGAACUUGGUUCCAUGCAGCUGAGGGUUGGAGCCUUCUCUCACAUACACAAGGAACCCCACUACUCUUCACCCAGCUGGUGAAUACGUUUCCACUCAGUUUCUUUUUUGACAAGAGAUCCUUUUUGGAACAAAGAAAAACUUUUCACUUCAGAAUAUUUGCCUACCUCUGCUUACGAGUUUACUUUUGUACAGCUCAGUUAACAAAUAUUAGUAGAAGAAAUCCUAUACAUAUGAAGCAAAAAUUCCAAGUGCUGGAGAAGACCCGUGGAAGUAUUUGUAGACAGAGCAUAGGAUUUACUCAAAGAAGUGCCAGGAAUUGCUGGGUUUGUUCCAGACACUUGUGGAUCCAUAGGCUGUGCUUUUCUCAAGGGCAGCGACACAUGAGGAGCUGGCAGCUGCCAGAGGCUCUGCUCCCAAAUAGAGGCAAAGCUGCCAUCAUUCUCCACUUGCUUUCCACUGCAGUUCACCUGUGGUCAGAUUAAACCUGCCUACCUGUACAGUCUUAUCAUUCUUCGAUAUAAGUAGUACUUUUUCCUCCCACCAUUCAUCCCGUCAUAUUUAUAGAGGGCAAC